GAUCCUGGCUCAGGAUGAACGCUGGCGGCGUGCUUAACACAUGCAAGUCGAACGAAGCUCUCCGAAUUGAGAUUUCGGCAAGACGAGGAGAUGACUUAGUGGCGGACGGGUGAGUAACGCGUGGGUAACCUGCCGUAUGCAGGGGGACAACAGUUGGAAACGACUGCUAAUACCGCAUAAGCGCACGGUUCUGCAUGGAACAGUGUGAAAAGAUUUAUCGGCAUACGAUGGACCCGCGUCUGAUUAGCUAGUUGGUGAGGUAACGGCCCACCAAGGCGACGAUCAGUAGCCGGCCUGAGAGGGUGAACGGCCACAUUGGGACUGAGACACGGCCCAAACUCCUGCGGGAGGCAGCAGUGGGGAAUAUUGCACAAUGGGGGAAACCCUGAUGCAGCGACGCCGCGUGAGUGAAGAAGUAUCUCGGUAUGUAAAGCUCUAUCAGCAGGGAAGAAAAUGACGGUACCUGACUAAGAAGCCCCGGCUAACUACGUGCCAGCAGCGGC
rnacentral:rRNA from 1 species